GCGGCUUUAGCUCACUUGGGAGAGCGCCAGACUGAAGAAGCUCAAACUUCAGAACAAGAAUAUCUGGAGGCACUGUGUUCGAUCCACAGAAGCCGCA